AGAGAGAGAGAGAGAGAGAGCAUGUUUACUAUUAGAUUACCAGUCAUCCAUUAUACGCACAAAAUAAUAUAAUUAACUUGAGGGGAAGAAAUUCUGACCCUCAAAUGAUAUUUUAAGAGAAUGUAAAAGUUGGUUUUUAUGUAGCUAACCAUACUUAGUGCCAGUUUGGCAUUGCAUUUGGAGGGUUAAAACUGCUUUUUUGAAUAAAAGCACCAUUUUAGAUGUUAUUGAAAAAAAAAGUUUGAAAAAAUUUAUUUUACUUUUUUAGUGUUCUUAUGUCUAAAAUUUAUCAAAUUUAAUUUUAAAUUAU
rnacentral:misc_RNA from 1 species